rnacentral:rRNA from 1 species
AUUGAACGCUGGCGGCAUGCUUUACACAUGCAAGUCGAACGGUAACAGGUUAAGCUGACGAGUGGCGAACGGGUGAGUAAUGCAUCGGAACGUGCCCGGUCGUGGGGGAUAACGCAGCGAAAGCUGCGCUAAUACCGCAUACGAUCUAAGGAUGAAAGCGGGGGACCGUAAGGCCUCGCGCGAUCGGAGCGGCCGAUGUCAGAUUAGGUAGUUGGUGGGGUAAAGGCUCACCAAGCCAACGAGCUGUAGCUGGUCUGAGAGGGCGACCAGCCACACGGGGACUGAGACACGGCCCAGACUCCUACGGGAGGCAGCAGUGGGGAAUUUUGGACAAUGGGCGAAAGCCUGAUCGAGCAAUGGCGCGUGCAGGAAGAAGGCCUUCGGGUUGUAAACUGCUUUUGUACGGAGCGAAAAGGUCUCCUCUAAUACAGGGGGCUCAUGACGGUACCGUAAGAAUAAGCACCGGCUAACUACGUGCCAGCAGCCGCCGUAA